rnacentral:rRNA from 1 species
UACGGAGGGUGCGAGCGUUAAUCGGAAUUACUGGGCGUAAAGCGUGCGUAGGUGGUGAUUUAAGUCAGAUGUGAAAGCCCUGGGCUUAACCUGGGAACGGCAUUUGAUACUGGGUCGCUAGAGUUUGGGAGAGGUAAGUGGAAUUUCAGGUGUAGCGGUGAAAUGCGUAGAUAUCUGAAGGAACACCAGUGGCGAAGGCGACUUACUGGCCUAAAACUGACGCUGAGGCACGAAAGCAUGGGGAGCAAACAGG